rnacentral:sRNA from 1 species
GAAGUUAUGCUUCGUAAAUAAAUUUCUGGCAGACAUCCUGAUCCCGCAAGGGAUAAAAAAAGGCGACUCAUAAUAAGUCGCCUUUUUUGUGCCC